rnacentral:lncRNA from 1 species
CGGUCGAGCUAGAAGCUUUCGACAGGAGCGUGCUUAGAGACGCGGCUUGCUUUCCCACAACGCGCAGACAUUGCCGCUAGAGGGAUGGAAUGUUCUCGAGGUGGCGAGCCCUUCGUUGGCGGUCUGUAAUACCUCUCCCGCUUUUCUAGCACCACUGCUAGAACGAUUGGGUUCCCCAGGAUACAAGAUCUCAGGAAUAUGGAUACAUUGCUCAGAAGCACCGUUUUCUUCUUCAUGACACUCCUUACAUUGGACCUGCUUCUAGUUAUUUAUGCGCGUCCGUAUAUCGCAAGAGAGUGCAGACGUGCAUUUGGUCAUAACCCUCCAACAUCGAUAUAUAGUGCGCUGCAAGGACUUUUCAACGAUGCUAUGCGCAUCUUCAGACGUGCGCUUUCACGAUAACAUUUCAAUCUAAAUCGGGCAGUUCAAAUAAAGUACGCAAAACCAUUGA